rnacentral:rRNA from 1 species
UACGUAGGGCGCAAGCGUUGUCCGGAAUUAUUGGGCGUAAAGAGCUCGUAGGCGGCUUGUUGCGUCGGUUGUGAAAGCCCGGGGCUUAACCCCGGGUCUGCAGUCGAUACGGGCAGGCUAGAGUGUGGUAGGGGAGAUCGGAAUUCCUGGUGUAGCGGUGAAAUGCGCAGAUAUCAGGAGGAACACCGGUGGCGAAGGCGGUUCUCUGGGAAUAUCCUGACGCUGAGGAGCGAAAGUGUGGGGAGCGAACAGG